GCCCGAAUAGCUCAGUCGGUAGAGCAGGGGAUUGAAAAUCCCCGUGUCCCUGGUUCGAUUCCGGGUUCGGG
rnacentral:tRNA from 1 species